rnacentral:rRNA from 1 species
GCAAGUCGAGCGCGCCCUUCGGGGUGAGCGGCGGACGGGUGAGUAACGCGUGGGAAUAUGCCCUUCUCUAAGGAAUAGCCACUGGAAACGGUGAGUAAUACCUUAUACGCCCUUCGGGGGAAAGAUUUAUCGGAGAUGGAUUGGCCCGCGUUAGAUUAGAUAGUUGGUGGGGUAACGGCCUACCAAGUCUACGAUCUAUAGCUGGUUUUAGAGGACGAUC